CAUCAGAAGGGAAACUCUGAGCAGUCCUGUCUCAGGUGUGGAUCCCUCGACCAUUCCAGAAGCCCUCAAAUUGGACAGAAUGUACCUCCCAAUGGGAAGGCUUAACUGCAAUGGCAAUUGUGCAACAUGGUCUUGCCUAAACUCAUUCUGGGCCAUCACCUCAUUUCUCUGCAAUACAUAACUGUGCACAGAAGUCAACCCUAUUGAAAACUGGAGAACCGUUAACCUCUGAAAUUGCUGGCAGCCAAUGAAGAACCACACUGGUGAUCAUCUACCCUGCAUGGAUGGAUAGACACCUUUUGGAGGGUGGAUUUUUUCUGAGGGGAAGGAGGAGGAACAAAGGAGAGUUGGUGAAACGACAGAAAAAACCACCACUGCAAUUCUCUUUGGAUGA